rnacentral:rRNA from 1 species
UGGGGGAUUUUGCGCAAUGGGGGAAACCCUGACGCAGCAACGCCGCGUGAGUGAUGAAGGCUUUCGGGUCGUAAAGCUCUGUCGAGUGGGAAGAAAUGGUGCAGGUUAAUAUCCUGUAUUUUGACGGUACCACUAAAGGAAGCACCGGCUAACUCCGUGCCAGCAGCCGCGGUAAUACGGGGGGUGCAAGCGUUAUUCGGAAUUAUUGGGCGUAAAGGGUGCGUAGGCGGUUUUGUAAGUCAGAUGUGAAAUACCGGGGCUUAACUUCGGAACUGCAUUUGAUACUGCAAGACUUGAGUAUGGGAGAGGGAAGCGGAAUUCCUGGUGUAGAGGUGAAAUUCGUAGAUAUCAGGAGGAACACCGGUGGCGAAGGCGGUUUCCUGGGCUGAUACUGACACUGAGGCGCGAAAGCGUGGGGAGCAAACA